AGCGAACGCUGGCAGCAGGCCUAACACAUGCAAGUCGAACGCACCUUCGGGUGAGUGGCGGACGGGUGAGUAACACGUGGGAACGUACCUUUUGGUUCGGAAUAACGCAGGGAAACUUGUGCUAAUACCGAAUGUGCCCUUCGGGGGAAAGAUUUAUCGCCAUUAGAGCGGCCCGCGUUAGAUUAGCUGGUUGGUGAGGU
rnacentral:rRNA from 1 species